AAGUGUCAGAAUUAUUCUGUAAACACCCUUAGCAGUUAUGAAACCUAAUUAUUUUCUUUUUUUUUCUCAAACAAAAAACAAAUAAAAUUUAUUAAAUUGCUCUUCGAUUAAAAUAUCGCAAAAAGAAGAAUCUAUUACAAAAGUUAUUGUAAACUGAAUUAUCUUAUGUACUUUCACUAAGUUUCGUUUAAUCAAUAGGUAAAAAUAAAGUAUAUCUGUAAUAAGGCAAGGUGAAUCACAUUCAACGUAGAUUGCUAAAAAACAAGGAUAUAGUUAGGAAUUAUAUUGAAACAAUUGAGAAAGAACAGUAAAAUAGUAAGUGACAAAGCUACAGAUGACAACCCAAUAUGAUUGAAAAACUUUUGAAAAUCUGUGACAAGAUUAUGAAAAAAUUUGUCUUUGAAAUGCAAGAAAUCACAGUAGAAAGGGUUUGAGAAUCAUCUAUUUUUCAAUGGUUUGGUAUUAUCAGUUAGUCGAGAGAAGACAUUGUGAUGGCCCAUGAAAAUGAAGAUCAUUCCUAAAUGCUAUAAUGGUGAUUUUUUUUAAGGUAAUGCUUGCAGGAAGUUAUUAAAAAAAGCCAAAAUUAUCAGGAGCAAUCGAUUUGAUAAAUAAUCUUGUUACUGAAUUAUUGAAAGCUUUAUUAGCUAUAAAAACUUCUAAAACCUUCAAACUACAUGUUCUACUAUCGCACAUCAAAAAAUGUCUGGAAUUCCUAGAUAAUUCGGAAAGGUUUUGGUUAUCGUUUGAACAAACUGUAGGUACCUAUCACCACUACCUAAUGCCUCCUUAAGUUGCUGAUAGAGGACUGGACCUUGAGAUUAACUAUGGAUACAACAAUAAGCAGUUGCGAACAACUAAUAAGAACCAGUUAAAAGCAGAAUAUAUCACCACAUUUAUGCCGUUGGCUUCGAAAUGCAAUUAAAGAAUGAUACGUACUAUAAUAUACCGGAAUCUUUAAACUUUAUCGUUUUUUUGCAAGUAUUCUGAAAAAAUAAGUUCUAACGAUUUCCGGAAUAGUAUUUUCGUAUAUGUUGAGUAAAAAUGGUGCAAAUUGUCGAAACAGAUUUUGUUGUUAGUCCAGAAGAAACUUUUUUUGCUUCCGAACCACUGUGCGCAUAUGGAGUGCAUAAGGUGCGAACAUAAUUAAUUUAAAUAUAACAGUUUUACUUAAAUAUAUGAAACCACAAUAGCUCAGUUGACAUCAAUUAUUAACAUAUUGUAUUAUGUUCAAUUUACGCUUACACAUUUGUUUAACAAGUAUUUAAAUAGUAUUUUA